rnacentral:lncRNA from 1 species
UUCUAUUUAUACCACUGAUACAUGGGGAUACGCCUUUCAGAUUUUCUAGAAGGAUUUGGAUCUACUUAUGGUAAGGUGGAGCGAGGGUCAGAAGAGGUUAUCCAGUCGGUGCCGGACUCGCAUUUUCGGCAGGGGUGGGGGCGGGGGAACAAGCGCAGUCCUAACCCUGCCAUCGAAGGCAGAAGGAGAGACCGUUUUCUGUGAUGAACUCAGUGCCAUGCUUGGAGCGGGUAGCGCGGAUGGAAUCAUUCAUUUUUCUGAUGUGCUUAAGUGUUCCCAAAAUAGUUGCAAUUCGCAUUUGGUCGUGGAGCUGGGCAAGGGGGACAGGUGUGGGUUCUCCGGAGGACGGAUAUAAAGGCACAUGUAACCCUCCCCGGUAGCCCACAUCACGGCAGCUCUUCCUAAACCAUCAAAGUCCGUUAGAAAAUGAAGUUUGUUUAGCAGGGGGCCUAUGUCGUGAGUAUAAAGAGUCAGCUGAAAGCUGCUGUAGUUUCUCUCACAUGUAGCUUUUUCAGUUGUUGCAGAGAACGAGUGAGUAACAGACAGAGCUACGUGUCCUUUUUAAUACCUUCUGUUCUGCUGUCCAUGGGUAGUGAAGAUGCUAGGAAGGAAACAAACAAAAAGACGCCCCCCCCCCAAAAAAAAUCCAAAAAAACCCUGCAAAUGCACUGUAUGCACAAUUUUGAGGGGUAAAGCUUAAAUUCUGGCCUGAAAAUAGGAAGGAUACCUAAGAAUUUGUUGCUUUUUUAAAAAGGGGAACUGGGCUGCCACUAUCUUCCAAACCUCUUGCUCAGUGUGGUUCCUCUCUCUCCCAUAGCAAGCUUUUCUGAGCCCGGAGUCUAUCGGUUUCAAAGACACGUGAAAAGCUAUGAAGAAAACCCAAGGGAAGGAAACCUCGGGAGCUGGGGCCCGAGAACACAGGGCCGGACAUCUGCUCUCCGCCCACGGUUGGGGCUGUUUAAAUGGUCUCUUGACGGGUCACCACGGGGCCACCCAAUCCCAUCCUGGUCUUGUUGAGUUCUCAUUGGCCUAGGGAAUAGACCUAACGGGUGAGUGCAAAGGCCACCUCCAUACAUGUACGGUUUUGGGGAACACAGCAGUGCUCUGCUCUCGCCUAGUAAGCGGGUGGCUGCCCGCAGAGCCUUUUGAGAACUAUCGCCAAGUAAAGCUCAGCCACGGAGGGAAUGCUCGACAGAGAGCGUCGGCUUCUAAGUUUUCCCCCGGCUCUUGACACUCUGACGGGGCCUUGGGCUGCCGCUCAGCUGUCUUCUCCACAGCCCUGUCCCCUCGGUUCCUCACUCAUCUGUGAGCCACCUUGCUGGGUCUCAGCCUCCCACUGUUAUUUCCUACUGAUUCAAAUACGAAUUCAUAGAAUGCCUUAUGUGCUUUCACGUGGCUCCCUCGGAUGCUUGUAACUAUUCUGAGGGAAAUAAGACCCGUACUAGUCAUGCCAUUCAAUGUUAAAACUCAGAAUAAGGCUCGGUGAGUCAGACCACAGGGCCCCCGGGAUCCCACCGCUGGGGCUUGGGCGACUCCCCCUCCCACCAGGAGCAGUUGGGGGUGGGACCCCUUUCUCCCUUCCUUCAAUCCUCCCCAACACUUGGUUUCGUUCCGGAAAUAUAAAAGAUCCUCAAGGGAUCUUUUCCAACAGGAGCCAAGGACAUCCAGAAAUGAAGUCACGGCUUCCGCCCUGGCCACCUCUGAGGGCCGUCACCUCUCGUUCUGCCCCCACUACCUCCUAAUAUCUGGCAUAAGAACCUGGUGAAAAAUCUGCACUUGGCAUUUCUGGGUAUGCCCCUCACCCCUUCUGAAUGGCUGUGUGGCCUUGGGCAGGUCAUUUCAAGAAAGACUGUAUUCUCAACUGAGGGUACUACCUACUCCUUAAGACCGACUUGGACAGAAGUGCCUGGGACAG